rnacentral:rRNA from 1 species
UACGUAGGAAGCAAGCGUUGUCCGGAAUCACUGGGCGUAAAGCGCGUGUAGGCGGAUGGGCAAGUCUGCUGUGAAAGCGCCUGGCUUAACCUCGAGACGUCGGUGGAAACUGCCUGGCUAGAGUCCGGAAGAGGCGAGUGGAACUCCUGGUGUAGCGGUGGAAUGCGUAGAUAUGUGGAGGAACACCGAUGGCGAAGGCAGCCCCCUGGGUCAAGACUGACGCUCAUGCACGAAAGCGUGGGGAGCAAACAGG